AUGGAAAAGUACAUCCCGGACGUGCUCUCUCUCCCAGGCAGAGUUUACCUGUGUUCUCGGAAAAGCAACGGAUUUCUGGCGAGCGCCAGGGGAAGACCCUCACCAUUCACCAUAUCGCGCCAGUGUCACGUACCUUGUUCAGUUCUUGGUCAUAAAAUUGUCUUCAGCCUGUCUGUGUGGUCCCGGAGGGUCGGUGGCAGGCAAUUUCCAAAAUUGAGAGUUGAUAAGAAGGUAUCCCUCAAGGACGAGGUGCUGAAGAUGAUGCCUGUGCAGAAGCAGAACCGAGCCGGGCAGCGGACCAGGUUCAAGGCAUUUGUGGCCAUUGGGGACUACAACGGGUACGUUGGCCUGGGAGUCAAGUGCUCCAAGGAGGUGGCCACUGCCAUCCGAGGGGCCAUCAUCCUGGCCAAGCUGUCCAUCGUCCCUGUGCGCCGGGGCUACUGGGGGAACAAGAUCGGCAAGCCUCACACCGUGCCCUGCAAGGUCACAGGCCGCUGAGGGUCUGUCCUGGUGCGCCUCAUCCCUGCCCCCAGGGGCACUGGCAUUGGGUCAGCCCCCGUCCCGAAGAAGCUGCUGAUGAUGGCUGGCAUUGACGACUGCUACCCCUCGGUCAGGGGCUGCAGCGCCACGCUGGGCAACUUCGCCAAGGCCACCUUUGACGCCAUUUCCAAAACCUACAGCUAUCUCACCCCCGAUCUCUGGAAAGAGACAGUGUUCACCAAGUCUCCUUACCAGGAAUUCACCGACCACCUUGUGAAGACCCACACCAGAGUCUCCGUGCAGAGGACCCAGGCUCCAGCUGUGGCCACGACAUAAGUUUUUGUACAGGAGAAAUAAAAGUGAUUACUGGUCAAAAAAAAGAAAAAAAGAA